GAAUAUUGGACAAUGGGGGGAACCCUGAUCCAGCCAUGCCGCGUGUGUGAAGAAGGCCUGGUGGGUGUAAAGCACUCUAAGCGAGGAGGAGGCUACUCUAGUUAAUACCUAGAGAUAGUGGACGUUACUCGCAGACUAAGCCACGCAUAACCCUGUGCCAGCAGCCGCGGUAAUACCGAGGGUGCAAGCGUUAAUCGGAUUUACUGGGCGUAAAGCGCGCGUAGGUGGCCAAUUAAGUCAAAUGUGAAAUCCCCGAGCUUAACUUGGGAAUUGCAUUCGAUACUGGUUGGCUAGAGUAUGGGAGAGGAUGGUAGAAUUCCAGGUGUAGCGGUGAAAUGCGUAGAGAUCUGGAGGAAUACCGAUGGCGAAGGCAGCCAUCUGGCCUAAUACUGACACUGAGGUGCGAAAGCAUGGGGAGCAAAC
rnacentral:rRNA from 1 species